GACGGAGGAUGCAAGUGUUAUCCGGAAUCACUGGGCGUAAAGCGUCUGUAGGUUGUUUAAAAAGUCUGCAGUUAAGGGUUGAAGCUUAACUUCAAAAAUGCCGUAGAAACUUUUAAACUAGAGGAUGGUAGGGGUAGAGGGAAUUUCCAGUGGAGCGGUGAAAUGCGUAGAGAUCGGAAAGAACACCAACGGCGAAAGCACUCUGCUGGGCCGACACUGACACUGAGAGACGAAAGCUAGGGGAGCGAAUGGG
rnacentral:rRNA from 1 species